rnacentral:lncRNA from 1 species
GCCCGAUGUCCUCUUCUUCUUCCUUCACUCCUCCACCAUCGCACACACACUAUCAGCGGUAGUUCUUUUACAGAGAGCCAGACAGAGGCCAUAGGCAUGCUUUACCUGACGUAGCCUAUGCCGAUUGGUUAUUUCUCCGUUCUUCAUUUGCCCCUAGCAGCACGCAGACCAAAUUGACCAUGUAAGGUGUUAAGAGGUCAGCAGCAGCCUCAUACCAUGUGUUCCUGUGUGGCCAAUCAGUGUAAAGCAGUUGUGCCCGGGGUCAUGGGGAGGACAGCCUGACCAACAGGCAGUGCUUGCCAGAGCGUUCUAGGGGGCCGGAGGGCUCAACCAGGACACAUCUUCCCAAAGGCAAAUAAAGUCCAUCUCUCUGUUCGAAGUUUUGAACCAGUCAAAGAUGCAACAAGAAAACCAAAGAUAUUUUUCCUUUUUGGACUUUCAGCUUUUAAAGUGUCCUCACACGUUUAAUCACCGGAGUUUUACAAAACGCUUGGAUGGUCAGGAUAAGCAUGAAGCCCAGUAGAACUUCACAUCUUCAAAUACUGAUGAAGAGAUAAAUACCUGGUGCCAUAUCACUGUUCUGGAGUUCAGAAUGAUGAGUUCAUAAGGAAAAGGCAUUUCCACAUGGCAAGAACCUGCAGUCCUAUUCACUCACAGAUUUUUCUGCUGAGAUGUAUUUAAAAGUCUUCGGAGUGUUCCAUCAACUUUAAAUUUCAGCUGACCUACGUCUUUGCAUUAUUGCCCUUGAUCUUUUAAAAGCUUCCAGUUUCCUUAAUAAAAAUCACAUGACAUAUCUAUUCCUUUCA